UACAGAGGGUGCGAGCGUUUGUCCGGAAUCACUGGGCGUAAAGGGCGCGUAGGCGGCUUGAUAAGCGUGCGGGUGAAAGCCCGGGGCUCAACCCCGGGUCGGCCGUGCGAACUGUCGAGCUGGAGCACUGUAGAGGCAGGGUGGAAUUCCGGGUGUAGCGGUGGAAUGCGUAGAGAUCCGGAAGAACACCGGUGGCGAAGGCGGCCUGCUGGGCAGUGGCUGACGCUGAGGCGCGACAGCGUGGGGGAGCAAACAGG
rnacentral:rRNA from 1 species